rnacentral:rRNA from 1 species
CCUACGGGAGGCAGCAGUGAGGAAUAUUGGUCAAUGGGCGUAAGCCUGAACCAGCCAAGUCGCGUGAGGGAUGAAGGUUCUAUGGAUCGUAAACCUCUUUUAUAAGGGAAUAAAGUGCGGGACGUGUCCCGUUUUGUAUGUACCUUAUGAAUAAGGAUCGGCUAACUCCGUGCCAGCAGCCGCGGUAAUACGGAGGAUUCGAGCGUUAUCCGGAUUUCUUGGGUUUAAAGGGAGCGUAGGUGGAUCGUUAAGUCAGGGGUUAAAGUUUGCGGCGCAACCGUAAAAUUGCAGUUGAAACUGGCAGUCUUGAGUACAGUAGAGGUAGGCGGAAUGCGGGGUGUAGCGGUGAAAUGCUUAGAUAUCACGAAGAACUCCGAUUGCGAAGGCAGUUCACUGGACUGCAACUGACGCUGAGGCGCGAAAGUGUGGGUAUCGAACAGGAUUAGAUACCCGUGUAGUC